CCUACGGGUGGCAGCAGUGGGGAAUAUUGCACAAUGGGCGCAAGCCUGAUGCAGCCAUGCCGCGUGUGUGAAGAAGGCCUUCGGGUUGUAAAGCACUUUCAGCGGGGAGGAAGGCGUUAAGGUUAAUAACCUUGUCGAUUGACGUUACCCGCAGAAGAAGCACCGGCUAACUCCGUGCCAGCAGCCGCGGUAAUACGGAGGGUGCAAGCGUUAAUCGGAAUUACUGGGCGUAAAGCGCACGCAGGCGGUCUGUCAAGUCGGAUGUGAAAUCCCCGGGCUCAACCUGGGAACUGCAUUCGAAACUGGCAGGCUAGAGUCUUGUAGAGGGGGGUAGAAUUCCAGGUGUAGCGGUGAAAUGCGUAGAGAUCUGGAGGAAUACCGGUGGCGAAGGCGGCCCCCUGGACAAAGACUGACGCUCAGGUGCGAAAGCGUGGGGAGCAAACAGGAUUAGAUACCCUUGUAGUC
rnacentral:rRNA from 1 species